rnacentral:rRNA from 1 species
ACGUAGGUGGCAAGCGUUGUCCAGAUUUAUUGGGCGUAAAGCGCCCGCAGGCGGCUUGAUAAGUUUCAGGUGAAAUCUCCCGGCUCAACCGGGAGGGUGCCUGGAAAACUAUCAGGCUUGAGUCAUGGAGAGGGAUGCGGAAUUCCCGGUGUAGUGGUGAAAUGCGUAGAUAUCGGGAGGAACACCAGUGGCGAAGGCGGCAUCCUGGCCAUGUACUGACGCUCAUGGGCGAAAGCGUGGGGAGCAAACCGGAUUAGAUACCCGGGUAGUCCACGCCGUAAACGAUGAGUACUAGGUGUAGGGGGUAUCGACCCCCUCUGUGCCGAAGCUAACGCGAUAAGUACUCCGCCUGGGGACUACGGCCGCAAGGCUA